CCUGAGAAACCCAAAAGUUCGAAUGGGGAGAUUCAUCGUCAGCACAUUUGAUAUGUAUGCAGGUCAUGAUGCAUGUUGUUUUCAAUUUUGCACGUACUUGUAUUACUUUAUUGUCAAGUGUCGUCGGCGUGCACUUCUCCCCUUGUAGGACGUCGCGACCCGUUAAAUGUCAGUUUGUGGCCCGGAUGGGAGUUUCUAAUUUUUUAAAUUGGAGACCACUGGUGACCUAACUGGCUGUUUGACGGUAUUCAAACGGUAAUGAGUCGUAUUGUUUUACGUCAAGUUCGUCACAAGUAUGAGUAGUAUCCUGGUAGUGCGGAUCAGAUGCCGUCGCUGGGACUAGUCGACUGUUUGUGUGCGAUUCUCUUUGACUGACUCAUUCUUACCG
rnacentral:rRNA from 1 species